rnacentral:rRNA from 1 species
GACGAACGCUGGCGGCGUGCUUAACACAUGCAAGUCGAACGGUGAAGCUCCAGCUUGCUGGAGUGGAUCAGUGGCGAACGGGUGAGUAACACGUGAGCAACCUGCCCCAGACUCUGGAAUAAGCGCUGGAAACGGCGUCUAAUACUGGAUACGAGAUCAAGCCGCAUGGUUAUGGUCUGGAAAGUUUUUCGGUUUGGGAUGGUCUCGCGGCCUAUCAGCUUGUUGGUGAGGUAAUGGCUCACCAAGGCGACGACGGGUAGCCGGCCUGAGAGGGCGACCGGCCACACUGGGACUGAGACACGGCCCAGACUCCUACGGGAGGCAGCAGUGGGGAAUAUUGCACAAUGGGCGAAAGCCUGAUGCAGCGACGCCGCGUGAGGGAUGACGGCCUUCGGGUUGUAAACCUCUUUCAGCAGGGAAGAAGCGAAAGUGACGGUACCUGCAGAAGAAGCACCGGCUAACUACGUG